rnacentral:rRNA from 1 species
AACGAACGCUGGCGGCAUGCCUAACACAUGCAAGUCGAACGAGACCUUCGGGUCUAGUGGCGCACGGUUGCGUAACGCGUGGGAACCUGCCCUUAGGUUCGGAAUAACUCCCCGAAAGGGGUGCUAAUACCGGAUAAUGUCUUCGGACCAAAGAUUUAUCGCCUUUGGAUGUGCCCGCGUUGGAUUAGCUAGUUGGUAGGGUAAAAGCCUACCAAGGCGACGAUCCAUAGCUGGUCUGAGAGGAUGAUCAGCCACACUGGGACUGAGACACGGCCCAGACUCCUACGGGAGGCAGCAGUGGGGAAUAUUGGAAAAUGGGCGAAAGCAUGAUCCAGCAAUGCCGCGUGAGUGAUGAAGGCCUUAGGGUUGUAAAGCUAUUUUACCCGGGAUGAUAAUGACAGUACCGGGAGAAUAAGCUCCGGCUAACUCCGUG